rnacentral:rRNA from 1 species
AGGUAAGCUUGCUUAUCUUGUGGAUUAGUGGCGCACGGGUGAGUAACACGUGGGUAACCUACCCUUGAGUGGGGGACAACACCGGGAAACCGGUGCUAAUACCGCAUAAGACCACUGGUUGAAAUACUGGAGGUAAAAGGAUUUAUUCGCUCAAGGAUGGGCCCGCGGCCUAUCAGGUAGUUGGUGGGGUAAAGGCCUACCAAGCCGAAGACGGGUAGCCGGUCUGAGAGGAUGAACGGCCACACUGGAACUGAGACACGGUCCAGACUCCUACGGGAGGCAGCAGUGGGGAAUUUUGCGCAAUGGGGGAAACCCUGACGCAGCGACGCCGCGUGCAGGACGAAGGCCUUCGGGUUGUAAACUGCUUUUGUGAGGGAAGAUAGUGACGGUACCUCACGAAUAAGCCACGGCUAACUCUGUGCCAGCAGCCGCGGUAAGACAGAGGUGGCAAGCGUUGUUCGGAAUUACUGGGCUUAAAGGGCGCGUAGGCGGUAUGUUAAGUCAGAAGUGGAAUCCCGCGGCUCAACCGCGGAAUUGCUUUUGAAACUGGUGUACUUGAGUCAGCGAGGGGAGGGCGGAAUUCCUGGUGUAGCAGUGAUAUGCGUAGAUAUCAGGAGGAAGGCCGGUGGC